ACGAGGACGAACGCUGGCGGCGUGCUUCAUACAUGCAAGUCGAACGGGAAUCUCUAGCUUGCUAGAGAGGAAAGUGGCGGACGGGUGAGUAAAAUGUAGGUAAUCUGCCUUUAAGCGGGGGACAACAGUUGGAAACGAUUGCUAAUACCCCAUAUGAGCGUACCUGAAAUGGUAUUCUUGAAAACUCCGGUGCUUAGAGAUGAGCCUGCAUCUGAUUAGCUAGUUGGGGGUGUAAUGGACCACCAAGGCAACGAUCAGUAGCUGGUUUGAGAGGAUGAUCAGCCACAAUGGGACUGAGACACGGCCCAUACUCCUACGGGAGGCAGCAGUAGGGAAUUUUGCGCAAUGGGGGAAACCCUGACGCAGCAACGCCGCGUGAAUGAGACGGCCUUCGGGUUGUAAAGUUCUGUCAAUAGGGACGAAAAAUGACGGUACCUAUAGAGGAAGCACCGGCUAACUCCGUGCCAGCCGCUGC
rnacentral:rRNA from 1 species